GCCUCUGAGGUCCCCUGGAGGGGACGCCUCGCUGUCGACGAGGAGGCGGCGGGUUCGAUUCCCGUCGGAGGCGCCA
rnacentral:tRNA from 1 species